UACAGAGGUCUCAAGCGUUGUUCGGAUUCAUUGGGCGUAAAGGGUGCGUAGGCGGCGCGGUAAGUCGGGUGUGAAAUCUCGGAGCUUAACUCCGAAACUGCAUUCGAUACUGCCGUGCUUGAGGACUGGAGAGGAGACUGGAAUUUACGGUGUAGCGGUGAAAUGCGUAGAUAUCGGGAGGAACACCGGUGGCGAAGGCGGCAUCCUGGACCGGUAUUGACGCUGAGG
rnacentral:rRNA from 1 species